UCUGCUCAGAUUGAACGCUGGCGGCAGGCUUAACACAUGCAAGUCGAGCGGGGAAGAGUAGCUUGCUACUUAACUUAGCGGCGGACGGGUGAGUAAUACUUAGGAAUCUACCUAAUAGUGGGGGACAACAUCUCGAAAGGGAUGCUAAUACCGCAUACGCCCUACGGGGGAAAGCAGGGGACUCUUCGGAGCCUUGCGCUAAUAGAUGAGCCUAAGUCGGAUUAGCUAGUUGGUGGGGUAAAGGCCUACCAAGGCGACGAUCUGUAGCGGGUCUGAGAGGAUGAUCCGCCACACUGGGACUGAGACACGGCCCAGACUCCUACGGGAGGCAGCAGUGGGGAAUAUUGGACAAUGGGGGGAACCCUGAUCCAGCCAUGCCGCGUGUGUGAAGAAGGCCUUUUGGUUGUAAAGCACUUUAAGCGAGGAGGAGGCUCCCAGUAUUAAUACUACUGGAGAGUGGACGUUACUCGCAGAAUAAGCACCGGCUAACUCUGUGCCAGCAGCCGCGGUAAUACAGAGGGUGCAAGCGUUAAUCGGAUUUACUGGGCGUAAAGCGUGCGUAGGUGGCCAAUUAAGUCAAAUGUGAAAUCCCCGAGCUUAACUUGGGAAUUGCAUUCGAUACUGGUUGGCUAGAGUAUGGGAGAGGAUGGUAGAAUUCCAGGUGUAGCGGUGAAAUGCGUAGAGAUCUGGAGGAAUACCGAUGGCGAAGGCAGCCAUCUGGCCUAAUACUGACACUGAGGUACGAAAGCAUGGGGAGCAAACAGGAUUAGAUACCCUGGUAGUCCAUGCCGUAAACGAUGUCUACUAGCCGUUGGGGUCUUUGAGAC
rnacentral:rRNA from 1 species